UACGUAGGGUGCAAGCGUUGUCCGGAAUUAUUGGGCGUAAAGAGCUCGUAGGCGGUUUGUCGCGUCUGCUGUGAAAACGCGAGGCUCAACCUCGCGCCUGCAGUGGGUACGGGCAGACUAGAGUGCGGUAGGGGAGAUUGGAAUUCCUGGUGUAGCGGUGGAAUGCGCAGAUAUCAGGAGGAACACCGAUGGCGAAGGCAGAUCUCUGGGCCGUAACUGACGCUGAGGAGCGAAGGCGUGGGGGAGCGAACAGG
rnacentral:rRNA from 1 species